rnacentral:rRNA from 1 species
AUUGAACGCUGGUGUCAGGCUUAACACAUGCAAGUCGAGCGGGGUGAUGGUGCUUGCACUAUCACUUAGCGGCGGACGGGUGAGUAAUGCUUAGGAAUCUGCCUAUUAGUGGGGGACAACAUCUCGAAAGGGAUGCUAAUACCGCAUACGUCCUACGGGAGAAAGCAGGGGAUCACUUGUGACCUUGCGCUAAUAGAUGAGCCUACGUCGGAGUAGCUAGUUGGUGGGGUAAAGGCCGACCAAGGCGACGAUCUGUAGCGGGUCUGAGAGGAUGAUCCGCCACACUGGGACUGAGACACGGCACAGACUCCUACGGGAGGCAGCAGUGGGGAAUAUUUGACAAUGGGGGGAACCCUGAUCCAGCCAUGCCGCGUGUGUGGAGAAGGCCUUAUGGUUGUAAAGCACUUUAAGCGAGGAGGAGGCUCUUUUGGUUAAUACCCAAGAUGAGUGGACGUUACUCGCAGAAUAAGCACCGGCUAACUCUGUGCCAGCCGCCGCGGUAA